GCUGGGAUACAAAGUGAAUAAACUAAUUAAUAAAAAACAAAACAAAAAUUAAGAAAAGGCAGAUUUUCACACAGGUGGAUCUCUGGGAGCCACUGGGUGGCCAGGCUAGCUGAAUCAGUAGGCUUCAGGUUCAGUGAGAGACACUGUCUCAAAGACUAAAGUGGAGAGCAAAAGAGGACGGCCCUGGACAUUCACCUCCAGCCUCCACACACGUGUGCAUAUGUGUACAUGCGCCUCCCCACACACGCAUCCAUAAAAACAAAUUAUGUUUUGACAUUUAAAAUUAGUGUCAAAAGCGAUCAAAAUCUUAGUUAACGGUUUCUGAAAAAAAAAAAAUUCUAAAAUUACCGCAAACAUCGUAUCUUACUGCUUGUGCAUUCCACUUUCUGGACGUGUGAUGAGUUCCUUAUCAUGGAUUUCACCAUCUCGAGUUAUUACCAGGAUGCCAGCUUCUGAUAAACCUCUUAACAAGUGUGGAAUUGGAGCCAAGAUAAUAUGUCGUUAAAAGUCAGAUUUAUGUGAACGAGUGAAGGAGUGGCUGGAGCAGGGUGUACCCUCUUUCCACAAACAACUAAAAAUCAGGGAAAAAAAACCAUUUGAAACAGCUCUUUGUGGUCAUUGAACAAUAACUGUGAGGAACUGGCAUCGAUGGAGGAAGAGAAAGCAGAGGUGAGAGGAUCUGAAGUUUCUAGAAACAGAGAUAAACAUCUGAGGUCAAGGUGACUGAAACGGAGUGCCAGAAAGGGUAGGACUUUGCAGGAACCUCUCCAGAUUCCUCAUUCCUGCAUCCUUGAUGUACCAGUACCAGUGCAGACUGAAAUCAAAACCCACCAGGCUGCGAAGAGAGUCACUGAAAGAGGCUUAACCCCAGACAGUUCCCAGUGCUCAUGAGGUCACGAAUCACACGAGUUUCUAGCCAGCAGAGCGAAGAAGAGCCCUCGCUCAACACAAAGGCCUUCGCUGUGGCGUGUGCCUUAGCUGUGGGAGUAAAACGGCCAUGGUUGGGGCUAGACAGAUGGCUCAGCACUUAAGAGUAUGUGCUGCUCUUUUGCAGAGGACUUGGGUUCAGUUCCCAGAACCAACUUCAUGCAGCUUAUGACCACCUGUAAUUCCAGUUCCAGGGGAUCCAACACCCUUUAGGCUCUGCAGGUCCCUGCACACAUGUGAAAUAAACUCACAGAGGCACACACACACGCGCACGCACGCAAACACACAUAAACUAAAAAAUAAACACUUAGAAUGGCAAUUGAUUAAAGGUUGCUCCUCAGUAGCCUUUACUGGAGCUGGUGCUAGCCUCAAAGCAUCCCACUGGUGUGUGGGCACCUUAACUGCCCUCCAACACAAACUCCCAUACUGUGAGAGGACGGCAAUGAGACCUAAACACUCACCACUGCAACUCACGGAGUUGCACCUUAAAUAAUGACAUCUUCAGAUAUGCAAAGAAGCAUCAAACUGUUACAAAGUCAAGAGCAAAGUCAACUGAUAAAAACACAUUUAAGAACUGCAGAGGUGAGGGAAUCAAACGAUAAACAUUUUUUUAAAGAUUUAACUUAAACAAUUUUUAAAAAAUUGUCUGUGUCGUUUGUGUGACUGGGUGUGGGUGCAGUGCCCACAGAGGCUAAAAGAGGAGAACAUCAGACAUCCUAGACCUGGAGUGGCAGGCAGUUGUGAGCUGGAACCAAAGUUGGGUUCUUGGCAAGAUCGGCUCCUCAUAAGCCGUGGCUCCAGUUCCACUUUUUUUCUUUUUUCUUUCUUUCUUUCUUUCUUUCUUUCUUUCUUUCUUUCUUUCUUUCUUUCUUUCUUUCUUUUUUUUUUUUUUUUUCAGAUAAAGAAAGGAGGGAAUUCAUGCCUGGUUCUGGAAAUCUAGCCAAUUACAAAAGGCUAGUGAGGUCGUGAAUCUUAGAGAUGAGCCUACUGCAGCCGCUUCACUAGACCAUCACAAUUCCUAACAACAGUCCAAAUAACUCUCCAGAUACCCACACGUAGCUCCUAUUCCAUAUCAAGGAAGCUUCCUUUUGCAGCAGAUAGAGUCCGUUACAGAAAGCCACGAGUGGUCAAUAUGAGAAGAACUGAGCAUGGGGAGCCACCCCCAAGCAAUGCAUUUAUAGCACAAACAACCCCUACACCGUAGGGGUUCGGGGGACAUGGAAGGAGGGAGGGCAAACGACUGGAAGAGCCAGAGGACCAGCAAGCCUUUUUGUAUCUUCAGGACUGUAUCCUCCAUAUGCAUCUCCUCUAUCUGACAGGAAAGCUGUACUCAGGAAAUGUCUGCCUUUGUGGCCGCCUAAGCAGGACCUGGGCAAAGACGACAGCAGAUGACGCCUUAACAUUGAGAAUGGAAAUCUCCCGGGACUCUGCUCCUAAAGGAAGGGCUUUAGGAAAGGCUCCUAAAGGAAGUAGGUAAUUAAUGGCUGCUGAGAGAAGCAGAGUUGUUAUUAAAAUACGUAAAUAAAUAAAUAAAUAAUCUGAGGAGUUAAAGGAAAAGGUGACUAUAACAAAGAAAAACAAAAGUGUAAGGUAAAAAAGAACCAGCAGGGUUAGACCAGCAGUCAAGGCUGCGCUCUUGAGUCCUGAGAUUGAGCCGUCAAUCCCAGCAUCCACAUAGAGUGACUCAUAAUGCAUGUCACUCCAGCUCCGGGAGAAUCCAGCACCCUCUUCUGGCCGUAAGAGGCACCUGCACAUACAUGAGCUCACAUACUCACACAGGCACAGACACAAAGACACAAAUACACACACACACACACACACACGUUCAAAUACACAGACACAUUAAAAAUCUAUGUUCUCUAUAUAAGAGAACACAUGGUGUUUGUGUAAGUUUAGUUUAUUUCCCUUAAUAUAAUUUUUCCACUUUCAUUUUCCUAUAAAUGUUUCUAGCAGCUUUAAAAAAAAAUGUGGAUGUGUGUUUCUCUGGCAUGCCUGGGACCUGCAGAAACCAGAAGAGGGUAAUGGAUACGCUGAGACUGGAGUUACAGAUGGUUGUGAGCCACUGUGCAGGUGCUGGGGAUUGAACCUGGGUCCCCUGGAAGAGCAGCCAGCGCUCUUAACUGCUACUGAGAUAUCUUUCCAGUCCCCCUCUAGAUGUGUUUUAUAUUCAAAUUCAUUCCAAUCUUCUUGCUUCAAAGCUGGGAGUUUUAACUUCAUACAUUUGGUGAAGAUUCCUGGGCCAGAAGUCCACAAAACUUCAGCUUUGAGAAGCUGUAGUCAAAGUUGUGAUGGUUUAGUCUAGGGCAUUGGAAGGAAAUGAUGGCUCCAAAAUAAGGUCCUUUGGAAGUUCUCCCAACUCCUUAGCUCUGGUCUCAAGGUCCUUAUCUAGCUGCCUAGCCAUGAGGUUUUCUCCUCCACCCGCCCCCAUUCAACUAUCAGAGCUGACAUAUCCAUGGGAGACUAUGGGGAAGACCCUUCCCCAGGUAAGAAAUCAGUGCCCAGAAAGGUAGCAGGAAGGUCUCAGGCUAUGCUGGCUAGUUCUAUGUCAACACAAGCUAGAGUCAAUGGGAAGAGGGAACCUCAACUGAGAAAAUGCUCCCACUAGAUUGGCCUGUGGGGAAGCCUGUGGUACAUUUCUCGACUUAUGUUUCAUGUUGGAGGGCCCAGCUCACUGUGGGUGGCGCCGCCUCUGGGCUGGUGGUCCUGGAUGCUGUAAGAAAGGAGACUGAGCAAGCCACAAGGAGCAAGCCAGUAAGCAGCACCCUCCAUGGGCUUUGCUUCAGCUCCUGCCUCCAGGUUCCUGCCUUGAGCUCCUUUGAUGAUGGACUGUCAUGUAGAAAUGUCAGUGACAUAAACCGCUUCCUCCCCAAGUUGCUUUUAGUCCUGUAGUCUUAUCACAGCAAUAGAAACUCUAAUUAAAACAGGCUCAUGUAGUUUUGGGGGCAGAGGACUUAUUCCUUAAGGAUCCUAUGCCAUCUCCCUGAAGACUGCCCCAAAGAAGGCACAGACACACCAAUCCUUUCUGAGAGUUUUGCUUGCUACAAAUUCUCCAGGCUGUUAACCAAAGCCUUAGACAACAUUGGCUAUAGUGAGCUUCAGUUUCUGUUACCAUUUGCUCCACCAGGAAAGCCAACCUUGCAGUCCUAAGUGAUGCCAAUCUGGGGCAACCAACAUCUUGAGGUUUUGGUCCAAUUGGUGUCUUUAACUGGCACUUGGAACUGCUGUUGUGAAUUUGCACCUUCUCCCAAUCCUAAGAUUUUGGAAAAAGCAGCAGAGAUUUUUGACAUAUUGAGGUACUAAUGGGCCCUAUUGAGGUUUAUUAAAAGCUAGAGACUCUCACCUCAGUCACCAACAGAAACGCACGCACACCCUCGCUCUCGCAUCAGUUCAGAAGGUCUUCUGAGACCUCCCCCUUCCUUCCUCACGGAGGAGAAGGAUGGGAAUGGAGACUUGUUAACUGAUUUUAGGUAGGUGCUGGUAAGUCUUGUUAAAUUACAUAUCCAGAGAAGUUAUAUAGCGCAUAAAAGGUUUAUCCAUGGGUAACAUUCUUGACCUUAUUCUUAAAAAGAUAAGGUUACUCAAUUGUAGAAAAGAACAGUUGACACAGUGACUUGUAAAGUCUGGGAAUUUGUAUAGGUCAGAGACUUAAUGUGGACAAGCUGAGAAAGAAGGUGGACUUUGGUCCUCUCUUUCCAUGGUGAGUAGGGACAUUAAAUAAUGGCAUAGGCUGUGGGGACAACAGAGUGACCGGUGUUCUGUUUGGUUUGGCCCUGGGAACGUUGGACUCUGCUCAGCUUAUCUGGUUCUCUGUCUCUGAGUCCACCUGAAAGUCCUGAGUCUUAACUUCUCUUGAUGGAAAAAAACAACGAGAACUAAACUCUGAAAUAAACCGGGGGGAAAAACACGAGUGGCACUUUCCAGGAACAAGACAGAGGGGACAUGUCGGGACAUCAGCCCAGUGUCUAGGUUCCAGUGUCCUUACUGGGCAGCAGACCCCCUGUAGCCACUGCCUGGCCCCAGUUUUUUGUCUUUUGGGUUGUUGAAUCUGUGAAGUGAGGUUGUUAUACCAGGUGCUCUCUCAACCCGUGUCUUGCUGAGGGUCCCUGUGGUAAUAGAGGACAUCAUGGGUCAGACGGAGCCAGCAUCUCAGUAGGAAGGGCGGUAAUUGUCAUAAGAACAAGGAUGAUAAUGCAUUUCUAUUACUAAUGAGAUAAUGGAACUUGAGAAUAAAAUGCUAUCCUAUCUUAAAACCCCCCCCCAAAAAAAAAGGAAAAGGAAAAAGAAAAAAGAAACAGAAAAGAAAAAGAAAGAAAGAAAGGAAAGAAAAAAAGCUUGCCUGUUACUAGACACCUUGUUUGUGGCUUAAGUCUGAAGAAGAGUACUUUAUACGGUUUGUUUGUUUGUUUGUUUGUUUGUUUGUUUUUUAACCAUCAUGGCUGGCACAUGACGGUACCCAGUCUGGGUCGGGUGUACAGAUGAAGGUUACUGGUAAUCUGUAAUUACAAAAACAAUAGCCCCCAGCAAAAGCUGCGUGAUUUAUUCUAGGAUGCACUGUCUAGAACCCGUCUUGUCCCCAUCUUGUUUUUCCCACUGGGAACCUCCUCCCAUGUUUGAAUAGUUCCCCUUCUGUUAGUGGCAGCCUCGACAAAUUAGGAUUUGGGACCAACUAUCCUUCUGCAAGCCAACUCCUCUAUUGAGAUUCUCCCUGGGUUUGAAAUGGCAGGCUCUCUGGCAUCUAGCUUUCUGGCCUACUUUAUAGUUCUCAGAACUCCCUGCUUUUCCUUCUGGGACAAAGCUUCCUACUUUGUCCCCGGGGAGAAGGAUCCCUGGAAUUGAGGACUGAAGCAGUUUCUGUGACAGAUGUUGAAUUGUCACCGUUUUGCAUUUCCUGCCUGAACCUGCCGAGCUGUGGGACCUGUGGCCCUGAACUCCAACCUCACCUCUUCCAGGUCUGUCCGGCAACGCAGUAAACAGCAUGCCAGAGGAGGCCAGCAUUCCUGCAGGCCUGCCUGUGGUCAGGGACUUUUGUUCCUUUACACAUAAGACUUCACGAUGUCCACUCGGUUACAGGGUCAGUGGCCUCUCUAGGUGUUGGCUUUUGGUUAGACAGAGCUGGGCUGGGCUGAACGUUGUACUGGACGAGGAAAGGAAUCUAUUAGCAAGUCCUUGCAUGCAGAACGGAUGUCAAGGGCUUUCACAAACAACCCUGGCUUCUCCCAGUUCACCACAGAAGGAUGGGGGGGGGGGGGUGUGGAAAGGAGUCCACAGCUUUGUUUCACCGAAGGGUUCGAAGAGUCUUUGCUCAGAUCCUCAUUCUGAAAUGUAGCCUCUAUGCGCUAUGAAGGAAAUGAUAGCCUUCCCCUCCCUCCUCCCUUUCCCUCUCCUUCUCUAGUCCGUUUACUAGAAACAAACAAACAACAACAGAUCCAUUUCUGUCCCUUUUCUCUUUGAGUGACUGGGGCUGAAGAGCAUAAGAGCCUGAGGCUGUGGAGGCUCCUGGAGGACAAGGAGAGUAAUCAUGCAUGGAAGCAAUGGGAAGGAAGGAUGAGCUCCUGCUCUCAUGACCCAACCCUGAUUAAACCUUCAACUCCUAGGAUGCCCUAACUCAUCUAUGAAUCAAUUUGGAGAUAACUGAGAUUUGCAUAAUGCUGGCUCCUAUGCUCCACAUUCACGUCUCAGCAGCCCCAUCCAAGAUUCUGCAGCCGGGCACUCCCUCCUCCCCCAGGCGGACCAGGUCCUCAGACAGCAGAACUGGCAGCAGAGGUGAAGUGAGGUGACGGAAUGCCAAUGGGGAAAAGGCAGGGCUGGCGUCCGUCCACACCCGUUACCACCUCAGUGUGACUCCAGAAAAGCCUUCUCGGCCUGAGUGUCAAGUGACUCCAGACUAUAUCCUACCGCCUGCUGUGGGAAUAUAGACCUCCUGCAUAAGGACCCAUGAGAAGGUCAGGGGACAGAACACAGAACAGCAGCCGGCACGUUUGCCUCAUGUCCCUGCAAAAAUCCCCUGGUAAACCAAUGGUCUCUAAAGCGGCCAGCAUGCAACUCCUUUCUCCAGGAUACCAUCUGUUGGGAUGGUUUAGUGAUAACUUACUGCUAUUGCAAAAGACGAGCAAACCAGCAUUUGCGCUCAAUGUGUCAGUUGGCCCUGUUUCCUUACCUGGGUCCACAGGUCAGACAGUAAUAUGUGGACCUCUGAGGUACCCUGAGGGAAAACGGGGAACAAAUGAUGGGCAAAGGAAAGGAGUGCUGGAUGCUUGCGGCACCCUGUCCCUGUCUUUCGCCUUUUGACAGUUUUGCUUCCGUGUUUAGGGUUUUAUGUGUGUCCGGGUUACAAGGAUGUGUUAAGUUAGAACAUCUGACCUUUGGGCUGACGAGCUGACUCAGUAGGCAAAGCAGGUUUCAAUCUGACAACUUGAAUUUGGUCUCCAGAACCUCCAUGGUUGGAAGGACGGAACUGACUCCUGAAAGUUGACCUCUGACCUUCGAACCGUGACAUAUGAGAUACGUGGUGCUUGUUGCUUGGACACAUACAGACCUAACGUGCACAAUAAGUAAAGUUUAAAAAAGAAAAAAACAAACCAAAAGCAGUACAACUUUCUCUGUACCCCUCACAAGACAUACAUGUGCCUUCAAAGCAUUCUUGUCAGAGACCGGAAUUAACAAUGGAAAAGACACCCUCGUUUGUGUUCAAACACCAGUGCACAAACCAAAGCAGCAAAAUUACCAUGUUGACUGGGCCUGGCAUGAGCUCCUCUCUGUCGGCUAAACUAUGAAGCAAGCUCAUGCCUGGUACAGAGGUCCAGGCUACUGGUUCUUGCAC